AUGGGAUUUUUGCCCAAUUAUGCCAAAAGCAUAUUCUGCCUACUGAAGCUUUAAUGAAACUAUUGAUAUUAUUAUGUGAAAGAUAUCAGAGAAACAUAUGACUCCAUAAAAGAAUACCCAUAAAUAAAAAAAUGUUGGUUUUACUCUGAUGUUUAUUCUGAUGCACAUGCGCUCAUGAGAAACACACUAACAUGACUUUGCGACAUUAACAAUAACUGACUGGUGCUGACGCAGUAGGGGGGGGGGGGGCUUAUUAAUGCAUCAUAUGACUCUAUUCAGAAGACUUUAUGUCACUUUAAUGAAGUGUGACGCAUCGAGCAAAUUCUCUGAGAACCAGUUUAGUCUCCAUGUUUGUGAUAAUAGUGAAAUAACAACAACAUGUAAUCUGUGUAUAACUGUGAAUAAGCAGCAGGCCUAUAAUAAGCAGACAGCUCAUACAACAUGAUUUCUCUCCAGAAGACAGAUUGACUCAGUGCGCAACUGCACAGCCAACACAUGAAAACUCAGCAUCACACAUCCAACAUCCAAAACUCCUUCAAACUCUCUGUUAGUUAACUUUAAAUGACCGAUCACUGAAAUCUAAGACAAACACAAUCAGACACCAACUUUUUCUCUCCAGAGACUAGCUGGGUGGAGCUACACGCAGCUAAAGAGCAUGGUGGAGUACUAUUACUGGAAUCUCACCCUGUGAUUGGUCGGUUUCUGGAUGGGAGCGUAAGGAUACUCGAUCAGGAUUGGCUGAAAUAAACACUAUAAUAUUCCUUAGAAAAACCUCUGGUGUGAUUGAGGUGAUUCAUCCCUCUUCAUAGGCUAUAGUAUUAGUUUCAUCACAUAGAUCACAAACCUUUACAGUAUCCCUAAAUACAUUAAAUGAUGUUGCUGUUCAAUAUUAUGGUCAUAAGUAAUUUAAAAAUAAAAAAAUGUAAAUCACUGUAAUUAAAUAACCACAGAAUCAGCCCUUUCCUUCAUAACAAGGUCAAAAUGAUGGUGGGUCUGGGUGUGACUUGGUCCAAAAAA